AGCUGGAGGACCCGGGGUCUCGGCUGCUGGCGGCUCUGCACCUGUGCGCCCCCCGCGCCCCCCGCGCGGCCCCGGACCAGCCGGGCCUCAACCCCAUCUUCAGGCAGGUGCCCCACGUGGUGGACCGCUGCUGCCAGCUCAUCGAGGACUACGGUUUGCAGACCGAGGGCAUUUUCCGCGUGGGCAGCUCCAAGAAAAGGGUGCGGCAGAUGCGGGAGGAUCUGGACCGGGGGCUGGACGUGGUGCUGGACGAGAGGCAGAGCAUCCACGACGUGGCCGCGCUGCUCAAGGAGUUCUUCCGCGACCUGCCCGACUCCCUGCUGCCCCGGGGGCUCCACCCGGCCUGCGUCCACGCCGCCUGUGAGGGCCCGGCCCGGCGGGGGGCACCUCCCCAAAUGCCAUCCUCCCCCACCUCCCCACCGCACCUC